rnacentral:rRNA from 1 species
AGGCCUUGACAUGCACUAGACCGACGCUGAAAGGCGUCCUCCCUUCGGGGCUGGUGCACAGGUGCUGCAUGGCUGUCGUCAGCUCGUGUCGUGAGAUGUUGCGUUAAGUCGCGUAACGAGCGCAACCCCUGUCCUUAGUUGCCAUCAGGUAAAGCUGGGCACUCUAGGGAGACAAACCCUCUCUGAGGGUGGGAAGGUGGGGAUGACGUCAAGUCAGGAUGGCCCUUACGGCCUGGGCUGCACACGUGCUACAAUGCCCGGUACAGAGGGAAGCAAUACCGCGAGGUGGAGCAAAUCCUCAAAACCGGGCCCAGUUCAGAUUGUAGUCUGCAACUCGACUACAUGAAGCCGGAAUCGCUAGUAAUGGCGCAUCAGCUACGGCGCCGUGAAUACGUUCCCGGGCC